CGCGUAGGCGGCCGAUUAAGUCGGGGGUGAAAGCCUGUAGCUCAACCACAGAAUUGCCUUCGAUACUGGUUGGCUUGAGACCGGAAGAGGACAGCGGAACUGCGAGUGUAGAGGUGAAAUUCGUAGAUAUUCGCAAGAACACCAGUGGCGAAGGCGGCUCACUGGCCCGAUACUGACGCUGAGGCACGAAAGCGUGGGGAGCAAACA
rnacentral:rRNA from 1 species